AGGAUGAACGCUGGCGGCGUGCCUAACACAUGCAAGUCGAACGUCCUGUCUCGCAAGAGGCAGGGAGUGGCGGACGGGUGAGUACCACGUGGGUCAUCUACCGUGAGGUGAGGAAUACCGGCGAGAAAUCGCCGACAAGACCGCAUAGGCUCGAUGCAAGUCGAGCAAAGCUCUUUCGAGAGAGGGAGCGCCACACGAGGAGCCUGCGCCCGAUUAGCUAGCUGGUGGAGUAACGGUUCACCAGGGCGACGAUCGGUAGCUGGUCUGAGAGGACGAUCAGCCACACUGGGAUUGAGAACGGCCCAGACUCCUACGGGGGGCAGCAGUGAGGAAUUUUCGUCAAUGGGGGCAACCCUGAACGAGCAACGCCGCGUGCAGGAGAAGGUUUUCGGAUCGUAAACUGCUUUUCUCGGGGAAGAGAAUGGACGGUACCGAGGAAUCGAGCCCCGGCUAACUACGCGCCAGCAGCCGCGGU
rnacentral:rRNA from 1 species